UUCGGAAGCCUCAAUACAGGUGGUGCAUGGUUGUCGUCAGCUCGUGUCGUGAGAUGUUGGGUUAAGUCCCGCAACGAGCGCAACCCUUACCAUUAGUUGCCAGCAUGUAAAGAUGGGAACUCUAGUGGGACUGCCGAUGACAAAUCGGAGGAAGGUGGGGAUGACGUCAAAUCAUCAUGCCCUAUAUGCCCUGGGCUACACACGUGCUACAAUGGUCGGAACAAAGGGAAGCGAAACAGUGAUGUAAAGCAAACCCCAUAAAGCCGAUCCCAGUUCGGAUUGUACUCUGCAACUCGAGUACAUGAAGUCGGAGUUGCUAGUAAUCGCAGAUCAGAAUGCUGCGGUGAAUGCGUUCUCGGGUCUUGUACACACCGCCCGUCACACCAUGGGAGUUGGCAAUACCCGAAGCCGUCGAGCUAACCGUAAGGGAGCAGACGUCGAAGGUAGGGUUAAUGACUGGGGUGAAGUCGUAACAAGGUAGCCGUAUCGGAAGGUGCGGCUGGAUCACCUCCUUU
rnacentral:rRNA from 1 species